AGCCACAGCUGUACUUGUUUUUCACUUGGGUCUCUAUGCAGUUUUUUUUGGAGUACGAAGGAAGUACUUAAAAUUUCUCAGUGCAAACUCUGCAGAUAAUAUUCCAAAUAUUAUCGGAUCACUAAUCGAAGCGACGAUGCUUUUCAAUUACAACUAAGUUGGACACAGAGUUCAACACAGCAGUGUUGAACACAGACGAUAGGUCUUGUCGGAAUAUGACAAACCAUUCGCAGUGUCAGUCUCCAUGGCAGUGUGCUUACUGUGCUUCACAUUACCAACAUACUUCGAUUGCUCCAAUUGAAAUUGAAAAGCACCCAUAACCACCGACAACUAUACUCGACUAACUUGGAGUGAUGAGUAAUUUCAGAGACAGAAAAUAUUGUAAAUCUAUGUUCUCUGUUACCAUGCCGUGUGCGAUUCCAACGUGUAACCUGGGUCGUAAAUCAGCGAAAGAAAAAGGCUUGGUAUUUCAAAUUCCAUAAAAUCUUAAGCUCCAUGAAAAAUGGAUAGCUGCGAUUCCUAUGGAAUUUUUGACUUUAAGCCGUUGCAAUUCAUAUGUGAGAAACACUUUCUCGAACAAUACAUUCGGAAAAAAAUGAAUAGAAUAUCACUCCGGUGGGCAGGUUAUUGCAGAGCGCUUCAUGCUCUGGCUCUACUCUAUGCGUUGGCAGUAUCCGCAUAAUUUGACACUCCGAAUGAUGAGCAUAAUCCUACUGCGGCCGCUGACUUCUCUAUUGAAAAACGUUUGUCAGCGGAGCAGAAUUACGUUAUCAGCGUUGAGAGGAUUUUCUGCAGUUGGCGCGAAGGUGGUACUUUCAGUUACAGUAAUUGACAUUCCAACAAAAACUUCAGAAUAUAAUAUUGACUCUUGGAAUUGAUAAAAAGCAGAAACCAAAGAGAUCUCGGCAGUGAAUACUGUCAUUUUUGAGUUGACUCAAUGCAUACAGGUUGUUACUUCCAAAUCAUUGUGUAUCCGAUAUGCGAGGCAGUUCGUUUAACAUUGUAGAAGUUGCUUUCAACUGUAAGUGUCUUCCUUCGACAUCCAUUAUUUAUUAUAUUCGACUGCGUCUAAGGCAAAACGCCUAUCAAGAAAAUUUAGAAGUAGAAAAAAAAAUUUUUGAAAAAACUUAUUUAAAUUAAAUCAUUAAAAUAAAUCAAUAAAGCGAUCAAAAGUAUCAGUUUA